rnacentral:rRNA from 1 species
GAUGAACGCUGGCGGCGUGCUUAACACAUGCAAGUCGAACGGAAAGGCUCCUGCUUGCAGGGGUACUCGAGUGGCGAACGGGUGAGUAACACGUGGGUGAUCUGCCCAGCACUUCGGGAUAAGCCUGGGAAACUGGGUCUAAUACCGGAUAGGACGAUGGUUUGGAUGCCAUUGUGGAAAGUUUUUUCGGUGUGGGAUGAGCUCGCGGCCUAUCAGCUUGUUGGUGGGGUAAUGGCCUACCAAGGCGUCGACGGGUAGCCGGCCUGAGAGGGUGCACGGCCACAUUGGGACUGAGAGACGGCCCAGACUCCUACGGGAGGCAGCAGUGGGGAAUAUUGCACAAUGGGCGCAAGCCUGAUGCAGCGACGCCGCGUGGGGGAUGACGGCCUUCGGGUUGUAAACUCCUUUCGCUAGGGACGAAGCGCAAGUGACGGUACCUGGAGAAGAAGCACCGGCUAACUACGU